ensembl:snoRNA LOC120099016 small nucleolar RNA SNORA17
CCUACCCCUAGAGGCAUCGCCGAUGUGGCUGAUAUGUCACAUGUGUGUCAGUGAGUGCAAAGAGGAGAUAGGCUGUGUCUAUGCUCAGUGUUCUGAUCUAUGAACAUCUGAAUGAUUAGUCUAACAUU